AGAGUGGAGCCGAGCACUGUGUAGCUGCUAGCCGGAGGCAUUGAUGUACAGCUGGCUUUUGAGGAUGUAGUCGAUGACCGGCUGGGACAGACCCUGCACUUGAUGGACCAGCUGGCACCACCCAGAUCAAUAAACUGGCUUAUUUGAAUUUGCGGCCCCCCACCUAGGAACUGACUCAGUGCAAGAAGACAGCUUCGACUCCCUGUGAUUUCAUCUCUGACCAAUCAGCAUUCCUGGCUCACUGGCUUCCCCAACCCAUGAAGUUUUCCUUAAAAACUCUGCUCCCGAAAUGCUCAGGGAGACUGAUUUGAUAACAAUAAAACUCUGGUCUCCCGCA